rnacentral:rRNA from 1 species
GACGAACGCUGGCGGCGUGCUUAACACAUGCAAGUCGAGCGGUAAGGCCCUUUCGGGGGUACACGAGCGGCGAACGGGUGAGUAACACGUGGGUGACCUGCCCUCAGCUCUGGGAUAAGCCUGGGAAACCGGGUCUAAUACUGGAUAUGGACUCCAUGACGCAUGUUGUGGGGUGGAAAGCCUUGUGCGGCUGAGGAUGGGCCCGCGGCCUAUCAGCUUGUUGGUGGGGUGAGGCCUACCAAGGCGACGACGGGUAGCCGGCCUGAGAGGGCGACCGGCCACACUGGGACUGAGACACGGCCCAGACUCCUACGGGAGGCAGCAGUGGGGAAUCUUGCGCAAUGGGCGAAAGCCUGACGCAGCGACGCCGCGUGAGGGAUGACGGCCUGGUGUAAC